rnacentral:rRNA from 1 species
UACAGAGGGUGCUAGCGUUGUUCGGAAUCAUUGGGCGUAAAGGGCGCGUAGGCGGCGGGGUAAGUCGGGUGUGAAAUCUCAGGGCUCAACCCUGAAACUGCACUCGAUACUGCUCUGCUUGAGGACUGGAGAGGAGACUGGAAUUCACGGUGUAGCAGUGAAAUGCGUAGAUAUCGUGAGGAAGACCAGUGGCGAAGGCGGGUCUCUGGACAGUUCCUGACGCUGAGGCGCGAAGGCCAGGGGAGCAAACGGG